rnacentral:lncRNA from 1 species
CAUCUUCUUCCACAUCUUUGUCAAUUGUUCUUGUGUUUUUUCUAAUUCUUGUUCUAGUACUUCUGUUUUUUUGUUUUCUCCUGUUUUUUCUUCUGUUUGUGUUUUUUCUUGUUCUUCAGUUUUUUCUUGUUCUUCAGUUUUCACUUGUUCUACAGUCUUUUCUUGUUCUUCAGUUUUUUCUUCUUGUCGUUCAGUUUUUUCUUCUUUUUGUUCUUUUUUUUCUUCAACUACAUAAUUAUGUUCAUCAGUAAAAUUAAAAACUUUUUUUUUUUUUUUUUUUUUUCAAACGUAUCCAAUAUACUGUUAUCAAAAAACUUAUUUUCAUUUUUGCUUAAAAUUACUUCUAAAUUUUUUAGAAUUUUAUUACCUUUUAAUUUUUUAAUUUCAUUAUAAAUAAUUUUACGAAAAUUGUUAAUACUUUUUUUGUUAAUAUCUUUCAAAUCAAUUUUUUCAAAAUUAAGAUUUUGAUUUAUGUCACUAUUUUCAUUUAUUUUUUGCUGGUUUUUUAAAAAGUAUUUUUGAAAUAAAUCAAUUGGUAAAUAUACA